AGAGUUUGAUCAUGGCUCAGGACGAACGCUGGCGGCGUGCUUAACACAUGCAAGUCAAGGGGGCCCAGCAAUGGGCAACCGGCGAACGGGUGCGUAACACGUGAGCAACCUACCGAACUGUGGGGGAUAGCCGGCCUAACGGCCGAGUAAUACCGCAUACGCUUUCAUUGAGGCAUUUCAGUGAAAGGAAACCUACGGGACAGAUCGAGGGGCUCGCGGCCUAUCAGCUAGUUGGCGAGGUAACGGCUCACCAAGGCUACGACGGGUAGCUGGUCUGAGAGGAUGGCCAGCCACAUUGGGACUGAGAUACGGCCCAGACUCCUACGGGAGGCAGCAGUGGGGAAUCUUGCGCAAUGGCCUAACGGCUGACGCAGCGACGCCGCGUGUGGGAUGAAGCUCUUCGGAGUGUAAACCACUGUUGCCCGGGACGAAUAGCUCGAUUAAUCGAGCCUGACGGUACCGGGUGAGGAAGCACCGGCUAACUCCGUGCCAGCAGCCGCGGUAAUACGGGGGGUGCGAGCGUUGUCCGGAAUCACUGGGCGUAAAGGGCGCGUAGGUGGUUUGAUAAGGGUGUGGUGAAAGUCCGGGGCUCAACCCCGGAUCUGCCGUGCCGACUGUCAAACUCGAGGGCUGUAGAGGCAGACGGAAUUCCGGGUGUAGCGGUGGAAUGCGUAGAGAUCCGGAGGAAGACCGGUGGCGAAGGCGGUCUGCUGGGCAGUUUCUGACACUGAUGCGCGACAGCGUGGGGAGCAAACAGGAUUAGAUACCCUAGUAGUCC
rnacentral:rRNA from 1 species